UACGAAGGGUGCAAGCGUUGUUCGGAUUUAUUGGGCGUAAAGCGCGCGCAGGCGGAUUAUUAAGUCAGGUGUGAAAUCUCGAGGCGCAACUUCGAAACUGCGCCUGAAACUGAUGAUCUAGAAUGCUGGAGAGGGAAGGGGAAUUUCUCGUGUAGGGGUAAAAUCCGUAGAUAUGAGAAGGAACACCGGAGGCGAAGGCGCCUUCCUGGCCUGCAACUGACGCUGAGACGCGAAAGCGUGGGGAGCGAACCGG
rnacentral:rRNA from 1 species